UACGUAGGGUGCAAGCGUUGUCCGGAAUUAUUGGGCGUAAAGAGCUCGUAGGCGGUUUGUCGCGUCGGCUGUGAAAACUGGAGGCUUAACCUUCAGCGUGCAGUCGAUACGGGCAGACUUGAGUUCGGUAGGGGAGACUGGAAUUCCUGGUGUAGCGGUGAAAUGCGCAGAUAUCAGGAGGAACACCGGUGGCGAAGGCGGGUCUCUGGACAGUUCCUGACACUGAGGCACGAAGGCCAGGGGAGCAAACGGG
rnacentral:rRNA from 1 species